ACAAAUUCAACACUCGUCUUUGAGGAGGCGUUGCCGAAGGCGCGCAACAUGCAUAAUGACCUCUUUUGUUAGGGGUUACGCUGUUGACGACAACGCUGGCGCCUCCUCAUGUACAUAGACAACAUUCACUUUUAUACUUGACACAUGAUGGAGAACCAAUUUGGUUAAAUGAAAAA
rnacentral:misc_RNA from 1 species